CGCCUCGGCAGUUGGGCCCGCGCCGGGGGGGCGGUGCGGGGAGGGCUCCGCGAGCGGCCAGGCCCCGCCAGCCUCCGCUGCCUCCCGCCUCCUGCCUUCGACCCCGGGGCCCAGACCCGCGUUCCCACCGGCCCUACGCGCCGCUUCUCACGGACAUAGAAAGAGAAAGGCCUUCCUGAUGGAGCAUAUGCAAAGGGACUGAAGGACCCCCAGGUUAAGUGAAGUGGCUAGAAGAUUUUUCAGAACUAUACUAUCCCACAAGUCUGUCUACCGACUCCACAAGGAAGGUCCUUCACGAGGUUCAUCUCAGCUCCUGUGACGGACAGACUCUUGAAGAGGUCACCCACCACCCUGCUGGCAUUCAUGACUUCAUGUAAUUCCCUCCCCUUGAGUGUGGGCAGGGCGGGCAACUUGCUUCUAACCGAUAGACUAUGGCGAAGGUGAUCAGACGGAUGGCAGGCAUGUUAUUACAUAAGUGAUUACAUAGUUACAUGACAAAAUUAUAGCACCCAUCUUGCUGGAGUCUCUCUCAUACUCACUCCCUGGUUGGCUCUGAAGAAGCAAGCUGCCAUGUUGGGGGAUGCCUAUUUUGGGGGACCCAUGUGACAAAGGAACUACAGGCAACUCUAGGAGCUGAGGGGGCAACCUCCAACUGACAGCCAGUAAGAAAGUGACAGUCCUACAACUGCAAGGAACUGAAUUCUGCCGGCAAUCUGAGUGAGUGUGGAAACAGAUCCUUCCUCAGGUGAGCCUCAGAUGAGACUGCAACCGUGGCCAACACCUUGACUGCAGUGUUGUGGGACUCUAGACAGAGGACUCAGCUAAGCUGGGCUUGGAUU